CUUAGUACGAGAGGACCGGGUUGUAUGUACCGCUGGUGUAUCUGUUGUGCCGCCAGGUGCAGUGCAGAGUAGCUAUGUACAGAAAGGAUAAGCGCUGAAAGCAUCUAAGCGCGAAACCUUCCUUAAGAUGAAUUUACUUUUAAGUGCCGUCGAAGACUACGACGUUGAUAGGCUACAGGUGUAAAGGCAGUAAUGUCAUAGCCGAGUAGUACUAAUUGCACGUACGCUUUAACUUUAUUA
rnacentral:rRNA from 1 species